AUGGGACUUUUUUUCUCUUUUUAUUAUUGAUUUUUUGUACAAAUAUUUGCCAUGUCAGUAUAUUCAUAUCCAUUUUUCAAUUUUUAAAAAAAGGUUGUGCACUUACAAUUAAAAGCACAGUUGGAAAAUGUUACAGAAAUUGUUUUUCCUCCGGAUUAUAGAUACCAUUUAAAAGUUCGCUGCCGUUGUGGGGAAAUAUAUAAUAAGUGGAUUUAUGUCUGUGCUACGGAAUUUUGCGAGAUUCCCGAAAGUAGGGGGGCUGCUAAUCUAGUGAUGAAGUGCAAAUUUUGUUCCUCAAAUAACUCGAUUAGUGUUGUGCAAGGUUCUAUUCGUGCCUAUCUUUAUGAAGAUUCUGAGUCAUGGAAAACCAUUAUUUCCUUUAAUACUAGAGGGUGGACCCCUCAAGAUUUUGAGUAUAGAUCUGGAUUUUCCUGUAGAGCCCUCAGCUCUGCCACGACUUUUGAUGAAGUUGAACUCACUGAAGGAGAUUUUACCGAGUAUGACGAGGCGGGAAAAGCACCACUUUCUAUAUUAAAUGUUC